UUGACUUCGCUUGUUUUUCAACCUAAGUUAGAGGAAUAAGGGUAAGGGAAGAUUUCUCCCCCCUCUGGUGUCUUAGUAAGCUGGCGAGCUAAACACUAAGAGAAUCACCAGUAUGAUGACCAAUCUCAUCAUAACCCUUUCCUUUU
rnacentral:sRNA from 1 species